UUACAGUUUAUAUUUAUUGUGUCCACUGAAACCACAAAACCAAUGUUUAGUUUUACAGUUUUAAGUCACACACAGGAAAAUGCUUUACAAAAUAAGAUACUGUUCCUCAAUGAAAAAUAUUACAGUAUAGACAGGUCCCAAACGGCUCAGUUCAAGUGGUUUACCUGAAUGACAGAGCUGUUGUGGAAUGCAAGCUACAAGACACAGCAAUGCUUUAAGUAGUUGAUUCAGAUUUGAAGUUUGCCAAAGCUAAAGAAACACUUUAAAUAAGACCAUCUUGAUUUUUCUAAGAUUUUUGGUCUUUCCACUGCAUUAUACGAGAUCACUUCUGGAAAACUGAGGAUAAUAAGCAGCUUACAAAUUUUUAUCUUAUGCACAGUAUGUAAAUUUUCAUUAUUCUCUAUCAAUGAAAGCAUAUUUCAACACUUAAAAAAUAUCAACCAUCUCUAUUUAGGUUUAUUACUUGACUUUACUCAGCCAUUAAUAUAAAAAUCAAAUUAUUUGUGUCACUGCCUAUGUCAAAAGGAACAUAUUUCUGUCAUCAAUUUAGUUAUCUGCAGUGUCCGUUUAUGAAGCAUGUGCGUGAUCUAACAGGUCAUUACUAAAAUGUAAGGAGUGUUUGUGAAUCCUAAUUGUAGCAAGAUAAAGCAGCAAUAUUUAUGUCAUGCCUGAGUGUACAAUGUAAAAAUAUCAUUCAGAGAGUAAAUAGUUCUUAAUCAAAAGUCUAGCUUCAGUUACACAAUAUGAACUUCUAAAUACAUUCUCAGUAUAGAAUAUGUGCUUCUAAUACACUGUGAGUUGUUAAAUAAAACGUUGAGAUAUAGUCACUAAGUGUUUACUGCAGGCAUAAAAUAUCACAAAGUUAAAACAAGUUAGGGCAAACACACCAGUUUGAAUGUAAUGUUGAUGGUUUCAAAAUGUUGAAAUGUGACUCCUUUAAAUGUGACUGACUUGACAGACUUCAAGUUCCGUUGACAAUUUAAAUAUCCUCAAAAAUACAUACAGUCUAUUCACUAACCACUGUUGGUCAGAAUGACCAUUGGUCAUGUUUAUUUCUUGAACUUCGAGUAUGAAGUUGUGCCCAGGCUUGACAAAAAAUUCAGAGGUCUUUCUUGCAAAUUGUAAGAUCAUAUUUAAAAAGUAGAACUCAGAAAUGCUACAUUUGACAGUUGAUCAUGGAAGAUGUUAGCACCUCAGUAACAAUUCUUCAGUGGAUGUGCCAAAGAAAAAUGAAAAAAAAUGCCCUGUUUCGUUUAUAAAUGACAGUUUUCCUACAGUGUUAGAUUCCAGGUCACUGAUGUGGCAAUAGCUUAUAGGAAGAUGGACCCUUAUUUAUCUUUUCAUUAGGUCUAUGCAGUACGUAAGGACUAGCUCAUGGAGCCACAAGAUAAGGAUUAGAGACAAUGAAAUUAUGGCUAAAGUGCUAGUGAGUUAGUAAGAUACAAUUAACUGGGAUAGCUAAUACGUAUACUAAAGUCUUACUCUCAAAACAAACAAGUUCUAACAACAUAGUCCUUUAUUUUCCCCACAAAACCUGCAAUAGAAUUAUAUCAUAUCACUAGGCAUUUACUAGAUUGAUGAAUGCUUUGCUGAUGUGAACAUCACCAUCUUGUAUUCCCAUGUUUUGGCUAAUGCCUGGUUCCAUAUUUCAAUAUGUUCCCAUACUUUAAACAGAACACAAUUUUUCAUUAUAGAUUGAUGUGUUUUAUGAUGAUAUAAUUCAAUGAAUCAUUUUGUAGUUCAGGCUAACAGAGGACUAUUAGGAAGAUUUUUUUAGUGGACUAGUCAGGUCAGUUGAUCUACCUCUGAUAAUAUAAAAUUACAGGUUGUUGGCAAAUGAGAAAAAUAAUAGGAACAUAUAAAUUUAUUUUUUAUGAGUCUAAAUGACAAAAGCACCUUGAAUUUGUUUCUUAUAUGUACUUCUGUACUCAUGGUUAUUUCAUUUAUUCAUAGCUUUGAAAUGUAUGAAAAUAAGGUAUUUGACCUCAAAUUUAAUUAUAAGGACUUAAUAAUAUACACUCAUUUUGCCAAUGAAAUUUCACACUCAGACCUAGACUACUAGCAAGAUUUGGUCAUUAUUAAAUUCAACCUAUUUUUGCAAACAAGUCCUGAACUUCUCCAUCUGGCUGCUGUCAUCACCUUAGCUGUUACGAUGUGCUUGUCAGAGAAGAUACAGUCAAGAGAGAGUGACAGGACCAAAGAUGGAGCCCAGAGAAUGUGCUGUGAGUUUGGGAGUGCUUUGCCUUACUGGAAUCAGACUGCAAAGCCACACACAGUCAGGGCAAGUGAGUGCUCUCAGAGGUGUGGCUGCUGCCUCCUCUCAGUCUGACUGCUCUGGGUAAUUUGAUAGUUGUAAAAAAAAAAAAAUCACAUUUCACCAACAGAUAUCCAAUGUUUAUACAAGCAGCUGAAAUUACUGGCAUCUGAAUCACAGAAAUCCAAUUUUUUGUGCUCAUCUAUAGAAUGCUAUAGACACCAGAGAAUAAAUGAUAUUAAUUUUAGGAAGUGUUUCUCAAGCAGCAAAAGACAAGUUUUGCUUUUAUUGUCAUUCUUACCACUCAAAAGUUGUGUGUAAAGGACUUUCAGUUAUAUAUCAACAACACUUUGUGUUUAUCCAACAAAUGAAUGAACCUGAUUCUUUAAUGUGUCUUAGCUUCUAUGCAAGGCUUCUAGGCCAGGGAUGGUAAAUCUUUUAGAGUUUUCAAUGAUGCAUUGAUGAACCUUUUAGAGUUUUCGUUUUCAGCCUGCUGCAGAAUGCUUGCCAGAGGUUUACCACCACUGCUCUAGGCUAUCUGUAUGUUCAAGUUUAAAACUUGCACCUUAUUUGAUUGAAUAAGCAUUUUUUCUUACCUGUGACUUGGAAAAAUUGUGUUAAUGAAAUAUAAAAGACCUAUUAAUGUAGCUAUAAGUAAUGAACAUUAAUGAUCAAGAAAGAUUAAAUUAAAAAUUUCCCCUGGAAAGAAUGAUAGUAUCAGAGUAAUGAAACAUGAGAAUAUAUACAUAUACACUUGAUUCACACAGAAACCUUUCUACAUAAAAAAAUACAAAAGCAACCAGUGCUGUAUAUUAUGUAAACUCACAAAGUGUACUUUAUACACAAACAUGAAGCAUAAAUUAAUAAGUAAGACAACAGGAAAAUGUUUUAAAUAUAGAAGAAUUUGCACAUAUUUUCGUUAAAUAAGAAUAAAUAAUUUUAUCACACAAAUUCACACACCAGUUGCAAAAACAAUAAAUUACUUAUUUUUCAGUGCUGCAACUUUUUUUGUUUGUGAUUCAUCCCUUAAUUCUUAGUAUAAUGGGAUAAAACUGUUUCCACAGGAAGGCAAAAGAAAUUGAAUUCGUUAAAUAAAUUAUAGCAAUGUUCUUAUACUUCUAAACCACAAGGCAGGGCUUAAUUUAACCUUUUCUAUUCUAGAAGAAAUAAAUGCUAUUUCUUGGCUCUCUCAAUACUUAAUAAAACUUAUUCUUAGAGUGCUUAGUUAUGCAAGUGAGAUUAAAUUCUUACAAACCUGACCAUUUUUAAACGCUCUUCUUUAUUUCUCUCUUUUUGGCAUCUUGACCCCUAGAUUGUUUUUUCUUUUAAAUUCAAGAUGCAGGUACAAAAAAGGUGAAAGACAGUAUAAAAUUAAACUGGACUGAAUUACAGAGCCAUAGAGCACUUCCCUUUGCUUAUUAUUAUUAUUAUUAUUAUUACUUUUUAUCUGCUGAACAUUCAAUUUCUCUGAAUUUCAGUUUCCAGUCUAUGCAACUUUUCUUAGGAGUUUAUACAUACAUUCCUCAGUCAAUCUAGUGAUACUCAUUUUUAAAAGAGAGAAACUUAAAAACCCUGAAUAGUGGUUUCUUUAUUUUAAUCUAGGAUUGUUUCAGUGAGAAGUACAGAACUUCACGAAUUUGGGGAAAAGUGAGUAAGUGAUAAAUACUAUUCAGAAUCUAUGAAUAUAGUAUGGUGAAGCAGAGUAGAAGACAACCAUGUUUACUCUUCGAUAGUUUUUAAUGUUGUUGGAAAUAUAACCACAAAAGAUGAGAAUGAAUUUUUGUCACAUUUGAAUUAUUUGAUUAAAAUAAUUUUCAAAAUUGGAUAAAGUAACAUUGAAUUUUGUGUUAAUUCUGCUCUCACAGUCAAAUGGCAGUAUGAUUUUUUAAUCCUUCUUUUACUUUCUGAGUGAUUUGACUAGCUUUGUUUCAUGCCCUUGUCCUUCUUAUUUGGUCAUCUCCAUUAAAUGAAUGGUACCAGUCCGGUGUAGACCAAAUUCCUGAAAUAAUAAUUCCUUAAGAUACAAUUUCUACGUCUAAAGCAAAAUCAUUCUCUGAAAAUCCAAAAGAUGAUUAUUGGCUUCGUAAAACAAUUAUCUGUUCUAAAAAAUAAUUUCUUAAGAAACAUUUAAAACAUUGAGACAUAGGUUUUUCAUAGCUCCUGAAAUGAAUGAAUUAAUGCGAGAUGGUGAGAUCCAUUACAUAAUUCUUUUAUAAUAAAAAUAGCUUAUACUAAAAAUAAAUUCUCAUAAGUUUAAUGGAACCCAAUCAAUGAUUCCCUAAAAUUUCUAUAUUUAAAUCUUUAGCAAUAGGCACAUUUGGUUUAGUUGUUAUAAAAUUUUAUAUAAAAUGAUUGCUUUUUAGUAUUUCACAAUAAAAAAUAUAUCUAUGGACUAAAAUAUCUUUGAUUUUAUGAAUUAUGGCCAUGUGGAUAUGCAGUUUACAAUCAAAAAAGAAAUUUUCAUGUAUAUGAUUAUAAAAUAUUUUCAACACCUGACUCUUCAAGCUACUAACCUAUCUAGAUAAGAUAUGGAAAUAAAUGGAAUAAACUUCCUGAAAAUCAUAACAUUUUAUCACUCACAUAUGUACUGGUAUAACCAAACAUUUUCCAAUUGAGAAAUCUUUAAUACAGUAGGAAUAUAUUUAUAUUAAAAUUAAGAAAUUAUUGCCUGUGGUGUGGAAACAGUCUUAUUAAUGUUAACCACUGUUUUGCAUUAACCACAUUAAUUAUGAUUACCUCUUCUAGAUGUGGUUUAUUGUCAAGUGAUGUUUAAUAUACCUAUUAAACCAAACCCAAAAGAAGUACAAAGCAUUGCAGAUUUUCAGAACCCUUGAAUGAAACAGACAAAGGAGCGAAAACAAACAUAUUUUAAAGGCUUGCUGGUAAGAGGUAUACCAAUGUUUAAAGUGUUGGAUGUAAUAGAAAACUCUAUGCAGUGUGUUCUGUAUGUAUAUUACACAUUGUAAGAUAGUAGUUGGAAGCCAUAGAAAGAGCAAGCAGUCGUGAAAAUAUAAAUUGAAAAUGUGGUGACAUAUAUUUUUUCUUUAAAAUUCCAAUACAAGAAAACUAAUUUUUAGACUCUUGAAUACUGAUCAUAUACACACAGGCAAACACUAUUUCUACAUUGUAUUGGUACGUUAAUUUGGCUGGCUGCCUGAAAAAAUAAUACAAGCAGUCAAAGGGAUUAGUAGAUUGACCCAGGUAUAUAUUUAAAUGACUAAAUAUACUGAGAUCCUUUUUCUUUUCAGAAUUGCUCAGAAAAUGCUUGCUGUCAAAAUGGUUUUUGAAUAUAUUUUGUCUCCUGUAGUCAGAAAAUAUACUAAAUCUUAUUAAAACAGCAGCAAGUUCUUAAUUUCCAGUAAAAUAUCUACAGCUCUUUCUGGAAAGUGGGAGUUGAAAUAGCUGUAGACCUACUUUGGUCAAACACUUUUUGAUAGAAGUAUAUAUAUGCAUAUAUAUAUAUACACACAUAUAUAAAUAGAACCAAGUGAUAUAAAGUGACAUACCAAGGGAAAAUGUACUUAUAAACAGUAAAAAUAAGCUACUGUGUAUCAUGGGUGAAAUUGAUUACAAUGCCUUUGAAGACAUUCUAUAAGAGGUAGGUGACAAAGGGGAGAUUGUUUUGCUAUCUUCAAAUGUCCCCUGAUUCUACAUUCAUUAGUGUUUUGUUUAUUUACUUUGUGUUCUUGCAGGCCCAGGGGAUGUUAAAUAACUCCCAAGUUUUUCUAUACUUUAAGGUCACCAUUGUCACAUGAAGCAGUGUACAUCUUUUGGUCACAGAGAGCAGAUUCUGCCCAUAAUUUGACUCCUGGUGACAAUGCCACUGGCAUGUGACUUUCUGUGCAUGGGGUAGACCUCUUGUUUACCACAGCUGUAUCAGUGAUGCAUCCUCCAGUUAUCUGUGUGCACAAGGGCAUAACCACAGGCUAACAUUUCUUCAGCAAGCAUUGUUUAAAAGCAGAAGGCCUCUGAGAGAGAAGACAACCCUUUGCUAACUUCCGGUUUCCAUCCUGGCACUGCACCGUCCUUGUGUGCCAGCCCGUGUCACAGGUCCUAGAACAGGCAAGCCAGGGGCCUGUCACCCACUGCAGCUGUGGAGUGUGCAAUCCCACUUUAUUGCUGCCAUGGCUAGUGACAGAGUUUACUGCUGGAGUGGACUUCUUGGGAACAAAAAAACUGUACCGGACAUCUAAUGCUUUAGUUGGGUCUGUAGCAAGAAUUUGCACGAUCAGAAUUUCCUUGGUGGCCGAGUAGCCCAUUCCAUGCAAGAAGUCAUCCCGGUGGCUCCAGCCGCUGUAGUUCAUGACUGUGCCAUUGAUGUCGAUGAUGGUUUCUGAUGUGGAGAUCAUGUACUUUCCGUUGAUAAGGUACUCACCACUUUUCUUUUUCAGGGCUAAGUAGGCAGUGAAUCUAGUCUGGUCUUUGGCUUUGAACUGGCGGACUUUUAUGUGGGUUGCCCCUUCGGGGAUCCUCACAACGUCAGUGUAAC
ensembl:lncRNA